CAGCUUCUGAAUCGAGCAUGGGAGAUGUGGGCGACGCGCCGCUUACAAUCCAGUUGGCCAUGAACAACGGCUGAGAGCGCUGAGCUUGUCGGCGACCGAUUCGCAACAAUCAACGGGAAAAGACGACCCUCAAGCCGCCGGGUGGACAAAAAGGGUUCAUAUUGGGCGAGCCCCUAUCGAGCGUGCACCUUGUGCUGGAAGAGUAUGUGCCCUUGAAAAAAACAUUAAGAGGAUAUGCAGAGAAGAAAACUGAUACCGUAGUGGUACCAUCUGUUGGAUACAACUUUGAUUCAUUGGGAGAGCCAUACGACCUCCACAACCUAUAUUCGUGGGAAAUUGGAUUCGAAAUAAGAUACGAAAAAAGUAGGCUCAACGUCAAGAGAACCAAAUGUAUGCAGGAGAUAGUAUGUGGAUACUCUGGCAAACCAAAAAGAGGAAAUACACGCACAUGCCGCUGUGAGUGCCCUGCGUACAUAACUGAGCACAGGCCAUCACACAAUCAUGCUUUGACAGAUAAAUGUGGUGAAAAGGUGUACUGACCUUCACAUAAAAAUAUCCAUCUAUAUGCAAGAGACCUUGUUAAACAACUUAGAGAGAACAAUAUCAACAUUGGAAAAGUUUACAAUAUAAUUGGUAGUUUCUUCGGUUCAAUGAAUAAUGUGCCCUUGAGCAGUAUGCAAGCAGCAAGCAUCUCAAGUAGCACUGAAUUUCUACUAUUUCCCCCUUGUAUCCUGACUGCUCACUGCCAGCCCCCUGAUAUACAUUAUGUAUUGUCAGCUUAGUAAUAUGUAUUUGUCUGAACCCCUGAGCUGUCUAGAUGCAUUGUUUAAAACUAAUUUUGUGCUGCUGUAACAAAGAUCUCAUAUUAAUCUUAGUGUGCUACUGAUGACAUGUUCAUCUACUAUCCAUUAGUCAGGCAUAUAUCUCCACUUAUAUGUCCUGUUUUCGUGUUAAUUUUCCCUGAAAUGUUGAACCAUGAUUCAUCUAUGCAAGCUGCAAGCAUUUCAAGUAUCACGGGAUUUUCCCUAUUUCCUCCUUGUAUCCUGACUGCUCACUGCCAGUGCCCUUAGCCAAAAUAUGUACCGUAUUUGUCUAAUGCCCUGAAUGUGGAUGUGUUGUUCAAAGCUAAGUUUCAUGCUGCUGUAACAAAGGUCUCAUAUUAAUCUUCGUGUGCUAAUGAUGACAUGUUCAGCUACUAUUCCCUAGAGUCAGUUGUAUCUCCUAUUUUUCCCGAUUUUUUAUCCUGAAAAUUUUACUAAAAUCACACGCAUGAUUUUUAAUAUAAAUGUUAUGCUUGACAAUCAAGCCGGCACCGACAGCAGGGUGCAGACUCUCUUGUCUUCGGCCAUGGGCGCGGACGCAGCACUGUACACAUCUAGUUUGAUUUUUGAAACCUUUCAACCCAGCAGAGCCUGUAGUUCAUACCCUGAGACUCUGAGCCGACCAUCAAAUCUGCCACUUUAAGUGAUCAAGCUUGGCACUUGCUCACAGGCUCGA